GGGCCCGCACAAGCGGUGGAGCAUGUGGUUUAAUUCGAAGAUACGCGCAGAACCUUACCAACACUUGACAUGUUCGUCGCGACUUUAAGAGAUUAAAGUUUUCGGUUCGGCCGGACGAAACACAGGUGCUGCAUGGCUGUCGUCAGCUCGUGUCGUGAGAUGUUGGGUUAAGUCCCGCAACGAGCGCAACCCUCACUUUUAGUUGCCAUCAUUUAGUUGGGCACUCUGAAAGAACUGCCAGUGAUAAGCUGGAGGAAGGUGGGGAUGACGUCAAGUCCUCAUGGCCCUUACGUGUUGGGCUACACACGUGCUACAAUGGUAUCUACAACAGGAAGCAAAACGGCGACGUUAAGCAAAUCCUUAAAAGAUACCUCAGUUCGGAUUGCACUCUGCAACUCGAGUGCAUG
rnacentral:rRNA from 1 species